rnacentral:ribozyme from 1 species
GUCGAUGAUCCGAACGUCCCAACGGUGGCCGUGGACUUCAGGGGAGGCUGGGCU